GACGAACGCUGGCGGCACGCUUAACACAUGCAAGUCGAACGAGAGAAGAGAAGCUUGCUUUUCUGAUCUAGUGGCGGACGGGUGAGUAACACAUGAGCAAUCUGCCUUUCAGAGGGGGAUACCGAUUGGAAACGAUCGUUAAUACCGCAUAACAUAAUUGAACCGCAUGAUUUGAUUAUCAAAGAUUUAUCGCUGAAAGAUGAGCUCGCGUCUGAUUAGCUAGUUGGUAAGGUAACGGCUUACCAAGGCGACGAUCAGUAGCCGGACUGAGGGGUUGAUCGGCCACAUUGGGACUGAGACACGGCCCAGACUCCUACGGGAGGCAGCAGUGGGGAAUAUUGCACAAUGGAGGAAACUCUGAUGCAGCGAUGCCGCGUGAGGGAAGAAGGUUUUAGGAUUGUAAACCUCUGUCUUCAGGGACGAAAAAAGACGGUACCUGAGGAGGAAGCUCCGGCUAACUACGUGCCAGCAGCCGCGGUAAUACGUAGGGAGCGAGCGUUGUCCGGAAUUACUGGGUGUAAAGGGAGCGUAGGCGGGAUCGCAAGUCAGAUGUGAAAACUAUGGGCUUAACCCAUAAACUGCAUUUGAAACUGUGGUUCUUGAGUGAAGUAGAGGUAAGCGGAAUUCCUAGUGUAGCGGUGAAAUGCGUAGAUAUUAGGAGGAACAUCAGUGGCGAAGGCGGCUUACUGGGCUUUAACUGACGCUGAGGCUCGAAAGCGUGGGGAGCAAACAGGAUUAGAUACCCUGGUAGUCCACGCCGUAAACGA
rnacentral:rRNA from 1 species